AGUUUGGCUAAAACGCUACAAGGAAGCAGCCACGCAAAACGGUCUUGAGUGACAACCAAUCUGCCCAAUUAGCUGUUAGAUUUACGCUUUGUUGAUCCUCCCGCUUAUUUCGCAACGCCCACUUUCAGACACGCUCAAUGUAUGCAGUUACCCAUGACUCCUAGCAGGCAAACUUGGUGCAUAGGCCACAGCACCACCCGAGUGUUACUGCCAAGCAAACCGUGACUACAUGGUAUUAGGUGAGACGAUCCUAUCAGAUCUUGUCCACCACACCAACAGCGGGAGAGCCUUACCUGGGACAACACAUCAGAAUCCUAGAAACUCCCCCUUCACUUUGGGCCAAGAGUGGUGCUCCUUUUGACCGAAUCAUCCAACGAUUCCUUUCGAGUGCUACAGGAGGAUACUCCAGAGACAAUGGCUGAUAUUGAGAGGGACAAUCAACACACAGAUAUACUGCAGGUGCAAAUCAAACAGGAGGACGGAGAAGAGCCUCACGAUACAGAGGACCGUCUCAAGAGUUCUAAUACCGGAGAACAGAAGCCUUGUCACAUCUGCCCUGAUUGUGGUAAAAGUUAUACCCGUUCGGAUAAUCUUAAAACACACCAGAAAAUUCAUAUGACAGAGAGGCCGUACCUCUGCUCUGAGUGUGGUAAAGGUUUUACCCGCACAGAUCAUCUGAAAUCACACCUGAAAACACAUGAAAGAAAGAAGAAGAAACUUAAACACCCCUGUACUGAUUGUGUGAAAGGCUUUGUCCAUUUGGAGCAGCUUGAAAAACAUCUGGAAAAAAAUCACCUUACACACAAGGAAAAGAAACCUCACGGCUGUCCAAGGUGCGAUGAGAGCUUUUCUGACCUGGAAGAACUAACAACACACUUGCCAGUACAUACUGAAGAGCUGGCCCUCUACUGCUCUGACUGCGGCUCAACUCUCAGCGAUGAUACAGUUGUCUCGUCUCCAUACCACUACUAGGGCCACGUCUCCUGCCAGGCCAAACUCCCUGCAAUGCAUCUCAUCCAUGAAUGAUCCUGGCUGCCCGAUACCAGCCAAUACUGAGCGACGAUCCUCCAUGAUUCCAUCCGCCAUUCCAGAUUAAAAUGCAAACGCGGUUCCGCAGGCGGAACGUCAUGUCUCCGGUACGCUGGCGGUGUGUGUGAUGGCCAGUGUAUAUAGGAGUGGCUGUGGAGGAAGCAGGCGUGUUGUGUGCAGGUGGUGCUCUUGCCAGAACCACUCUACUGGAGCUCCACUCGAGUCAAAGUACCCUGAGAACCACGUAGAGCCUAGAACUGGACAGAAACACCUAGAACUGGACCCAACCUCCCACAACUGCAUAUAGUUGGAAAGAACUGCCUAGACAGAACUACACCGAACCUGGAAGAACUACCCAGAACCGGUGAAGAACUGCAGAAAAACACUCAGAACUGCCUAGCGUUGUAAUGAACCUUGCAGAACUGCUUAGAUACGGACAUCACUUAUUUUUAUUUAUUUUAUUUUACCUUUAUUUAACUAGGCAAGUCCGUUAAGAACAAAUUCUUAUUUUCAAUGACGGCCUAGGAACAGUGGGUUAACUGCCUGUUCUGAAUCUAGAGUGCUGUGCUGAGAGAGACCUCUGUAUUCCCACAAAUCCCAAUAAUCCAGUAUCUUUCAAAAUAGUUAGUGUGAUAGUGUAUGAGUGAAAUGUAUGGAUGUUUUUCCAAAGGUUUUACUUCUAAGAAUCAAUUCAACGUGUUUAUUUCAAGAUGUUGUUUGUUUAGUCAAAUAAGGGCAUUUACAUUUUUACAUUGUAUCCCAUCUACGUCUUUGUUUUCCCCUAGUCAUUGAAUAAAAUACUUGGUUGUUCUAAUGGUCAAAUG